rnacentral:rRNA from 1 species
CCUGACGACCAUAGCGAGGUGGUCCCACUCCUUCCCAUCCCGAACAGGACAGUGAAACGCCUCAGCGCCGAUGAUAGUGCGCAUUCGCGUGUGAAAGUAGGUCAUCGUCAGGCUACUAUCCCCAAACCCCCUCAGUGAAAACUGCAGGGGGUUUGUUCUUUUGGG